GGCGGCAUUUUUAUUAGAUCAAAAACCAAUCGGGGCUUUGGCCCGUCUGCUUGGUGACUCUUUGGAUACUUUUGUGCUGGAUCGCGAUGGCCUCUGCAGCUGCGCGACGUAUGUCUUUCAAGAUGUCUUGCCUAUCCAACUUUACCCGAUGGCUAUGAUUAUAUUGGCCUACCAUGGUGUUAUAACGGGUAAGCGGGGAAUCAGGGUUCGAUUCCGGAGAGGGCAGCCUGAGAAACGGCUAGCACCCCAUUAAGGAAGGAGCAGUGCGGCAAAUUAAACCCAUCCCGGCAUCGGGGAGGUAGUGACGAAACAUAACGAUACGGACUCUUUUGAGGCCCCGUAAUUGGAAUGAGCUUACACUUUAAAAUCGUUUAACAAGUAUUCUAUUGAGGAGCGCAAGUCUUGGUGCCGCAGCCGCGGUUAGAUUCCAGUGCUCGCAAUUAGCCGUAUAUUAAUGUUGCUGCCCAGUUUUAAAAAAGCUUCGUAGUGUGGAUCUCUGUAGGAAACUCGAAUAUGGUGGUGCACCAUACUGGUGUUAACUGCGAUCGGCCUACCUAGUCGCGGGUGCUCGCCUCUUUGGUUGUUUGUUAAUUUGAAUGCGGCUGGUAGUGCCGGCAAGUUUACUUUGAAAAAAUUAGAGUGCUCAAAGCAGCCCAUUUAGUCCGGGAAUACUUCAGCAUGGCAAUAAUGGAAUAGGACUUCGGUUCUAUUUUGUUUGGUUUAUCGCGAACCGAGUGGUGGUAAUGUUAUAGAUGAGACAACGUGGCAUUCGGUAACUGCGGUUAGAGGUGAAAUUCUUGGAUCGCCGCCAAGACGACACAACCUGCCGAAAGCAUUUGCCAAGAAUGUUUUUCAAUUAAUCAAGAACGAAGUCAGCAGGUUCGAAGAACGAUCAAUACGCGUUCCUAGAUUGCUGACCAUAAACGAUGGCAACUGGCGAUCCGAGAUCGUGUUUGCUGUAUUGGACCUCUCGGGCAGCCUCGUCCUCCGCGGAAACCAAAAGUUUUUUAAGGCUGAUUCCCGGUUUUCCCAGGGGAAGUAUGGUUGCCCAAGGCUGGAACUUAAAGACAUUGACGGAAGGGCACCACAGCGAGUGGAGCCUGCGGCUUAAUUUUGACUCAACACGGGGAAAACUCACCCGGCCCGGACACUGUUAGGAUUGACAGAUUGAGAGCUCUUUCUUGAUUCGGUGGGUGGUGGUGCAUGGCCGUUCUUAGUUGGUGGAGCGAUUGUCUGGCGUUAAUUCGGAUAACGAACGAGACUCUAGCCUGCUAAAUAGUACGCCGCAUACCUUUUCGUCGGUGCUGACUUCUUAGAGGGACAAGCGUCUUGAAGACGCACGAGAUUGAGCAAUAACAGGUUCUGUGAUGCCCUUAGAUGUUCGGGGCCGCACGCGCGCUACACUGAAGGGGACAGCGAGUUUUUCCUGGUUCGAAAGAACGGGUAAUCUGUUGAAUUCCCUUCGUGACAGGGAUCGGGGCUUGCAAUUAUUCCCCCGUGAACGAGGAAUUCCCAGUAAGCGCAAGUCAUCAGCUUGCGUUGAUUACGUCCCUGCCCUUUGUACACACCGCCCGUCGCUACUACCGAUUGAAUGGUUUAGCAAGGUCCUCGGAUUGGUGCCGACUUGGUGGCAACACUAGGUCGGAUACUGAAAAGAAGAUCAAACUUGAUCAUUUAGAGGAAGUAAAAGUCGUAACAAGGUUUCCGUAGGUGAACCUGCGGAAGGAUCAUUA
rnacentral:rRNA from 1 species